rnacentral:rRNA from 1 species
UGGGCAACCUGCCCUCAGCUCUGGGAUAACUCCAAGAAAUUGGGGCUAAUACCGGAUGUGACCGCUGACCGCAUGGUCUGGUGGUGGAAAGAUUUAUCGGCUGGGGAUGGGCCCGCGGCCUAUCAGCUUGUUGGUGGGGUAGUGGCCUACCAAGGCGACGACGGGUAGCCGGCCUGAGAGGGUGACCGGCCACACUGGGACUGAGACACGGCCCAGACUCCUACGGGAG